rnacentral:rRNA from 1 species
ACGCUGGCGGCGUGCUUAUACAUGCAAGUCAACUUGACUUUAGAUAGCAAUAUCGAAAGUAGGGUGGCGCACGGGUGCGUAACGCGUAGGUAAUCUGCCCUGAGGUCUGACAUAACCCGUCGAAAGGCGGGCUAACAUCAGAUGAUAUAUAAUCACGACAUCGUGGAAAUAUCAAAUCUUCGGAGCCUUGGGAUGAGCCUGCGUCUGAUUAGGUAGUUGGCGGAGUAAUAGCCCACCAAGCCUACGAUCAGUAGCUGGUCUGAGAGGAUGAUCAGCCACACUGGAACUGAGACACGGUCCAGACUCCUACGGGAGGCAGCAGUAAGGAAUAUUGCUCAAUGGGGGAAACCCUGAAGCAGCAACGCCGCGUGAAGGAUGAAAUACUUUGUAUGUAAACUUCUGUAAGAUGGGAAAAAUAUUCUCCUCGGGAGAAUUGAUUGUACCAUCAGAGUAAGCCCCGGCUAACUACGUG